rnacentral:lncRNA from 1 species
UAUAUAAAACGAACAAGUCACAAAACGCACUAGCUAUAUGCCUGUAUGUAUCUCUCAAUUUGUAUACCUUGUCACUCAAGAAGAGCAUAUAGUUUUACACGGAGGCAAGCUACCGAGUCACAAUAUUACAAAACCAGGAAUAUUACAGGUAUGCAUAUGGCAUGCACUGGAAACAAUUAGAAUUAACUAAUAGGUAGACUAAUAUAUUAGAAUAAUCAUCACCGACGAUGAGCAUUACGUUUUUAAAAUGAUUGAUACUGGAUUUGUUUUCAAUUCCUUUUGAUUUAUGUUUUUGAAAGAAAAAAAAAUUUGUUAAAUGAUGACAAAAAACAUAAAUCAAAAGAAUUUUAAAACAAACCCAAUACCGAUCAUUUUAAAAGCGUAAUGCUCAUUGUCGGUAAUGAUUGUGUAUUUGGCUCAAGAUAGAUUAGUUACAUCAUUUGAGUUGUUUAUGCAAUAAAAUAAAAGAAAAAUUGAUACAAGAUUUAUACUUUAGAGUGUAAAAUAUAAACUCUGACAUUACCUUUGAUUUCUCGAAGGGCAUGAACAAAAGUUAUCUGGACUGGAUCGAAGCUUAAUUGUCUGAUUUGAUCGACUGAGUAUGAGAAGCUUGAGAUCGAACUUGCAAUUGUGGCAAAGUGAUGAAGAGUGCCUAUUGAAUUUAUAGAGCAUGCAUUAUAUCAUUG